rnacentral:misc_RNA from 1 species
AAAAAAAAAAAAAAAAACAAGAUACAGAUAAGAGGAACAACUAAUUAUGCAGAAACUACUGAAUCUUCAUAUUGCCAAGGAUUGAAUUCAGUCGUUUUAGCGUCAGCCUCUUCAACAUGAUCAGAACUGUCAAUAGCAGCACGAUGCUCAUGAUAUUUGCCAUUGUACUCAUACACCUCCAACUCACCCCAAGGUGUGGGACAAAUUUCAUUAGAUAAGUUGAACCAUUUUGGUUUGAAUUCGUCACCCUUGGCCUCUCUUGUUCUCCUGUCAGCUCUCUGCCUCUCCUCCAAA